rnacentral:rRNA from 1 species
UACAGAGGGUGCAGGCGUUGUUCGGAAUUAUUGGGCGUAAAGCGCGUGUAGGCGGCUUUGCAAGUCGGGUGUGAAAGCCCUCAGCUCAACUGAGGAAGUGCGCCCGAAACUGCAGAGCUUGAGUGCCGGAGAGGAAGGCGGAAUUCUCGGUGUAGAGGUGAAAUUCGUAGAUAUCGAGAGGAACACCUGUGGCGAAGGCGGCCUUCUGGACGGUUACUGACGCUGAGACGCGAAAGCGUGGGGAGCAAACAGG